rnacentral:tRNA from 3 species
GCCCUCGUAGCUCAGGGGUAGAGCACGUCCUUGGUAAGGACGGGGUCACGAGUUCAAAUCUCGUCGAGGGCUCCA